rnacentral:lncRNA from 1 species
CCUGGAACAAACAAUGGGUCGUGGGAAGCGUUUCCCGGCAAUGGGGAAACUCAGGUGACCUCUGCUUGGCAGAAUCCUGCAGCUGAGAUCGGCAAGGCUGAUUGGGAGUUGGCUUUGGUGGAGACAGCUAGUCACCUGUCUAAUCAGAAAGCCGCAUUGGGCGGUUAAACAAUGGGUCGUGGGAAGCGUUCCCCGGCAAUGGGGAAACUCAGGUGACCUCUGCUUGGCAGAAUCCUGCGGCUGAGGUAGGUAAGGCUGAUUGGGAAUUGGCUUUGGUGGAGACAGCUAGUCACCUGUCUAAUCAGAAGGCCGCAUUGGGUGGUGGACUUGAUCCACUACUGUUGAAUGGCAUGUAUGAUCAAGGGAUAAUUAGGCAGCAUGUUUCCACUGCCCAGUUGAGUGGAGGUAGUGCCAGCAGUGUGGCAUUACCCG